CAAAGCGCAUACAUUGGAGUGUUCUCAUUUCAACCCAGGUCAAGGCACAACAGUGAGUCAUGAAGAAAGCAGCUGCCUGGAACCAUCUGCUAGUGUGACCAUGCAUUCUGUAAUUAAGUCUGUCUCUGGACCCAACGGUUACCUUCCACAGGCGGGAGAGGUAGGAUUUUCACUGCUGUGCAGGAAACUGCAAUCGUUGAUAUGGUCAUCAGAAACAAUGGCAUAAAACUCACAGAGAUUCGGGACGAGUGUUGGCAGACAACAUUACAUUUGGAAAUAUUCAAAAUGUAAGCAUAACAACUAUUUCUAGAGUCCUGAAACAACAUCAAGUCAGGAUGAAGCAGUUGUACACUGUCCCCUUUGAGAGGAACUCGGAACGAGUCAAGCAACUCAGGAACCAAUAUGUCCAGAGAGUCAUGGAGAUUGAAGCCAGGCAAACACUCCACAUAUUCAUCUUUGUGGAUGAGGCUGGUUUCAACUUGGCCAAAACACGGCGGCAGAGGUAGGAAUGUGAUUGGGAAAAGAGCCACAGUGGAUGUCCCAGGCCAGAGGGGUGUCACAAUCACAAUGUGUGCAGCAAUAUCCUCUGAUGGAUUUCUGUUACACAAACCGCUAAUUGGACCACCGAGCGUCUCAUUUCAUUCCUGGAUGACCUCUAUGGAAGGGUUGUGCCAGGUGAGGAAAGGGUUGCAGUGAGGUGAAGUCGACAAACGUUUGUAAUUGUAUGGGACAAUGUGGCAUUUCACCAGUCCUGUGCAGUCAGACUGGUUUGCAGUCCAUCCCAGGAUGGUGUCACUUUUCCUCCCACCUCACUCUUCAUUCCUCAAUCCCAUAGAGGAAUUAUUUUCCUCGUGGAGGUGGAAGGUUUAUGACAUAAUCAAAUGUCCUUCCUGGACGCAAUUAAUUCUGGAUGCCUGGACAUAUCUGCAGAAGAUUUCCAGGGAUGGACCAGGCAUGCCGAAAUAUUAUUUCUUAGGUGUAUUACCCAAGAUGACAUGUGAUGUGGAUGAGAACCUGUGGCCAAAUGCAUGAGAAAGGGUUGACUAGCAUUGGUGUAUAUACAAAUUAUUGUAUAUACACUCAAUGCCAAAAAAAAAAAAAAACAUAUCAAAGCAUAUUGCAUCCUGUCUGAUUCAUUCCUAUAACAUAUACUGCAGUGAAUUCUAAGCAGUAGAGAGGUGUCAUUCUUGUUUUGUAAAGACAUUUUUACAAAAGAAAACAUUGUGUAAUACUGCCUGUUGUUAGUGUUUUUUAGGUAAUUGUUUUAUGAGUGACAAAGUGUGCUUGUUGGGUGACAACCUUUGCUAGUGUUAUGGAAGAAUGAGCUGAUUUGAGACAUGUAUGAAGUGUUUUGGUAGUUUUAGUGCAUUUUGGAUGUGAAAGUAACUGCUGUGCCAAGCUGAAAGUUGGUUAGGGGAACUAUGUGAAGAGUUUUGAAAAAGUGACCUAAGUAUUAGGAAAUGGGUCCUAGCGAUUGUAAAAAUAAAAAACUGUAAUUGAUAGAGCUAUGGCUGCAAGGACUGACCAUCCAUGAUAUCAACAUUAUAAUUAUUAUGUUAUGAGGCUAUACAGUGUUUGU